AAAUUAAUUUUAUUUUGAAAUCCCUCCGCCCUUGUUGCGAGAGUCGCCACUUCUUCCGCUCCUCUCUCACUCUCCGCCUCUCCACGCUCAACUCAAGCAUCCUAAACACAAGGGCAUUGGACAAUGAAAGUCAAGAUUAUCCGUACGCUUCUUACGAACUAUAGACAUUUUCAAACUAUCAAAUUAGCUAACAUAUUUUCCUUGAGGUGGCAGCUGUUGCAUCUUGGACAUGGGAUGCCCAAGAUGAAACCUGUAGAAUUUGUAGGAUGGCUUUCGAUGGCUGUUGCCCUGAUUGUAAACUCCCCGGAGAUGAUUGUCACAUAUUAAUAUUUCUUUUUCUUCCCUUUUUAUUGCUUUUAGUUUAGAGUUGAUUAUCUGUAUUCCCUUAUUCAUAGUUGUGAACUUGCCCUCCUUGCCUAGUGCCAUUUUCUCACUCAGUUAAACUUGAAGACCUUCUCUC